rnacentral:tRNA from 2 species
GCUCGAAUGGCGGAAUUGGUAUACGCGCAACACUUAAAAUGUUGUCCCGCAAGGGUUGUGGGUUCGACUCCCACUUCGAGCACCA